GAUGAACGCUGGCGGCGUGCCUAAUACAUGCAAGUCGAGCGAACAGACGAGGAGCUUGCUCCUCUGACGUUAGCGGCGGACGGGUGAGUAACACGUGGAUAACCUACCUAUCAGACUGGUAUAACUUCGGGAAACCGGAGCUAAUACCGGAUAAUAUAUUGCACCGCAUGGUUCAAUAGUGAAAGACGGUUUUGCUGUCACUUAUAGAUGGAUCCGCGCCGCAUUAGCUAGUUGGUAAGGUAACGGCUUACCAAGGCAACGAUGCGUAGCCGACCUGAGAGGGUGAACGGCCACACAGGAACUGAGACACGGUACAGAGUCCUACGGGAGGCAGCAGUAGGGAAUCUUCCGAAAUGGGCGAAAGACUGACGGAGCAACGCAGCGUGAGUGAUGAAGGGCUUCGGAUCGUAAAACUCUGUUAUUAGGGAAGAACAAAUGUGUAAGUAACUAAGCACGUCUUGACGGUACCUAAGCAGAAAGCCACGGCUAACUACGU
rnacentral:rRNA from 1 species